rnacentral:rRNA from 1 species
CCUACGGGGGGCAGCAGUGAGGAAUAUUGGUCAAUGGGCGUAAGCCUGAACCAGCCAAGUCGCGUGAGGGAUGAAGGCUCUAUGGAUCGUAAACCUCUUUUAUAAGGGAAUAAAGUGCGGGACGUGUCCCGUUUUGUAUGUACCUUAUGAAUAAGGAUCGGCUAACUCCGUGCCAGCAGCCGCGGUAAUACGGAGGAUCCGAGCGUUAUCCGGAUUUAUUGGGUUUAAAGGGUGCGUAGGCGGCCUUUUAAGUCAGCGGUGAAAGUUUGUGGCUCAACCAUAGAAUUGCCGUUGAUACUGGGAGGCUUGAGUAUAGUAGAGGCAGGCGGAAUGCGUGGUGUAGCGGUGAAAUGCUUAGAUAUCACGAAGAACCCCGAUUGCGAAGGUAGCCUGC